rnacentral:rRNA from 1 species
AUUGAACGCUGGCGGCAUGCCUUACACAUGCAAGUCGAACGGUAACAGGUCUUCGGAUGCUGACGAGUGGCGAACGGGUGAGUAAUACAUCGGAACGUGCCCAGACGUGGGGGAUAACGAGGCGAAAGCUUUGCUAAUACCGCAUACGAUCUAAGGAUGAAAGCAGGGGACCGCAAGGCCUUGUGCGUUUGGAGCGGCCGAUGGCAGAUUAGGUGGUUGGUGGGAUAAAAGCUUACCAAGCCGACGAUCUGUAGCUGGUGGGAGAGGACGACCAGCCACACGGGGACGAACAAGCCACCGAGACGCCUGCGGAGGGAGGCAGGGGGGAUUGUUAGAGAAGGGUGGGAGGCCGGCCCCAGCAAUGCCGCGGGGUGAGGGAGGGCCUCCGGUUGGUAAUGUUCUUUUGUAGGAAGGGAAGGGGGUCUGCCUAAUCCGUGGGGAACUUGACGGUACCGAAAGAAAAAGCGCCGGCUAACUACGUG